GGUACUCAAGAACCUUGCUUUCUAACUCCUCCUCUUAAGAGUAAUCUCAAAAAGACUACAGUGGUAGAGGAGAAUCAACUGAGAAUUAGGAGAAAAGUUAGUUGGCCUGAUGCCCAUGGACAAGAUCUUGCUCAGGUUCUAGUGUAUCAGUCAAGUAUAUUGGAAGAAGGGGAGCUUGAGGGAGUGAAGAAUUCUUGCAUUUGUGCUAUUCAAUGAAACAAGCUGUUAAAAGUUCUUAAUUGUGAAGAUUAACUAUAUAUGGGUUGUUAAACAGAAGUAACCAAAGCAGACUGGUGAGCUUGAGGCAUAAGGAAUCCAAGCCAUUACAUUCAUGAAAGAUGUACAACACAGAUUUUGCAUGUUUUAAUGCAAAUUGAGCUUCAAGCAUGUCAUCUGUUCAUGUAACUUACAAAGAGAGAUCACUUGUUUUGACUCCCAGAAUCAGAGAAUUGUUUCAAGAUUGCAUACUGUGUCCAA